CUGUAGAGGGGGGUAGAAUUUCAGGAGUAGCGGUGAAAUGCGUAGAGAUCUGAAGGAAUACCGGUGGCGAAGGCGGCCCACUGGACAGAUACUGAAACUCAGAUGCGAAAGCGUGGGGAGCAAACAGGAUUAGAUACCCUGGUAGUCCACGCCGUAAACGAUGUCUACUUGGAGGUUGGGGCCUUGAGCCGUGGCUUUCGGAGCUAACGCGUUAAGUAGACCGCCUGGGGAGUACGGUCGCAAGAUUAAACCUCAAAUGCAUUGACGGGGGCCCGCACAAGCGGUGGAGCAUGUGGUUUAAUUCGAUGCAACGCAAAGACCCUUACCUACUCUUGACAUCUACAGAAUCCUGCGGCGACGCGGGAGUGCCUUCGGGAACUGUAAGACAGGUGCUGCAU
rnacentral:rRNA from 1 species